rnacentral:rRNA from 2 species
AAAUUGAAGAGUUUGAUCAUGGCUCAGAUUGAACGCUGGCGGCAGGCCUAACACAUGCAAGUCGAACGGUAACAGGAAGCAGCUUGCUGCUUUGCUGACGAGUGGCGGACGGGUGAGUAAUGUCUGGGAAACUGCCUGAUGGAGGGGGAUAACUACUGGAAACGGUAGCUAAUACCGCAUAACGUCGCAAGACCAAAGAGGGGGACCUUCGGGCCUCUUGCCAUCGGAUGUGCCCAGAUGGGAUUAGCUUGUUGGUGGGGUAACGGCUCACCAAGGCGACGAUCCCUAGCUGGUCUGAGAGGAUGACCAGCCACACUGGAACUGAGACACGGUCCAGACUCCUACGGGAGGCAGCAGUGGGGAAUAUUGCACAAUGGGCGCAAGCCUGAUGCAGCCAUGCCGCGUGUAUGAAGAAGGCCUUCGGGUUGUAAAGUACUUUCAGCGGGGAGGAAGGGAGUAAAGUUAAUACCUUUGCUCAUUGACGUUACCCGCAGAAGAAGCACCGGCUAACUCCGUGCCAGCAGCCGCGGUAAUACGGAGGGUGCAAGCGUUAAUCGGAAUUACUGGGCGUAAAGCGCACGCAGGCGGUUUGUUAAGUCAGAUGUGAAAUCCCCGGGCUCAACCUGGGAACUGCAUCUGAUACUGGCAAGCUUGAGUCUCGUAGAGGGGGGUAGAAUUCCAGGUGUAGCGGUGAAAUGCGUAGAGAUCUGGAGGAAUACCGGUGGCGAAGGCGGCCCCCUGGACGAAGACUGACGCUCAGGUGCGAAAGCGUGGGGAGCAAACAGGAUUAGAUACCCUGGUAGUCCACGCCGUAAACGAUGUCGACUUGGAGGUUGUGCCCUUGAGGCGUGGCUUCCGGAGCUAACGCGUUAAGUCGACCGCCUGGGGAGUACGGCCGCAAGGUUAAAACUCAAAUGAAUUGACGGGGGCCCGCACAAGCGGUGGAGCAUGUGGUUUAAUUCGAUGCAACGCGAAGAACCUUACCUGGUCUUGACAUCCACGGAAGUUUUCAGAGAUGAGAAUGUGCCUUCGGGAACCGUGAGACAGGUGCUGCAUGGCUGUCGUCAGCUCGUGUUGUGAAAUGUUGGGUUAAGUCCCGCAACGAGCGCAACCCUUAUCCUUUGUUGCCAGCGGUCCGGCCGGGAACUCAAAGGAGACUGCCAGUGAUAAACUGGAGGAAGGUGGGGAUGACGUCAAGUCAUCAUGGCCCUUACGACCAGGGCUACACACGUGCUACAAUGGCGCAUACAAAGAGAAGCGACCUCGCGAGAGCAAGCGGACCUCAUAAAGUGCGUCGUAGUCCGGAUUGGAGUCUGCAACUCGACUCCAUGAAGUCGGAAUCGCUAGUAAUCGUGGAUCAGAAUGCCACGGUGAAUACGUUCCCGGGCCUUGUACACACCGCCCGUCACACCAUGGGAGUGGGUUGCAAAAGAAGUAGGUAGCUUAACCUUCGGGAGGGCGCUUACCACUUUGUGAUUCAUGACUGGGGUGAAGUCGUAACAAGGUAACCGUAGGGGAACCUGCGGUUGGAUCACCUCCUUACCUUAAAGAA